rnacentral:rRNA from 1 species
CCUACGGGGGCAGCAGUAAGGAAUAUUGGUCAAUGGAGACGACUCUGAACCAGCCAUGCCGCGUGCAGGAUGACGGCCCUAUGGGUUGUAAACUGCUUUUAUACAAGAGAAAACCCUGGUACGUGUACCAGGUUGAUAGUAUUGUAAGAAUAAGCAUCGGCUAACUUCGUGCCAGCAGCCGCGGUAAGACGAAGGAUGCAAGCGUUAUCCGGAUUCAUUGGGUUUAAAGGGUGCGUAGGCGGACUGAUAAGUCAGUGGUGAAAUCUCUUUGCUUAACAAAGAAACUGCCAUUGAUACUGUCGGUCUAGAGUAUAGAUGACGUUGGCGGAAUAUGACAUGUAGUGGUGAAAUACUUAGAUAUGUCAUAGAACACCGAUUGCGAAGGCAGCUAACGAAACUAUAACUGACGCUGAGGCACGAAAGUGCGGGGAUCAAACAGGAUUAGAUACCCUGGUAGUCCGCACCGUAAACGAUGAUUACUCGUUGUUGGCGAUAUGACAGUCAGCGACCAAGCGAAAAGCGAUAAGUAAUCCACCUGGGGAGUACGCCGGCAACGGUGAAACUCAAAAUGAAUUGACGGCUUGAGACGNGNGAGGAGACGACAGGGAGGAGG